AUUGAACGCUGGCGGCAGGCCUAACACAUGCAAGUCGAACGGAUCCUUCGGGAUUAGUGGCGGACGGGUGAGUAACACGUGGGAACGUGCCCUUUGGUUCGGAACAACUCAGGGAAACUUGAGCUAAUACCGGAUGUGCCCUUCGGGGGAAAGAUUUAUCGCCAUUGGAGCGGCCCGCGUCUGAUUAGCUAGUUGGUGAGGUAAAGGCUCACCAAGGCGACGAUCAGUAGCUGGUCUGAGAGGAUGAUCAGCCACAUUGGGACUGAGACACGGCCCAAACUCCUACGGGAGGCAGCAGUGGGGAAUCUUGCGCAAUGGGCGAAAGCCUGACGCAGCCAUGCCGCGUGAAUGACGAAGGUCUUAGGAUUGUAAAAUUCUUUCACCGGGGACGAUAAUGACGGUACCCGGAGAAGAAGCCCCGGCUAACUUCGUGCCAGCCGCCGCAGUAACAC
rnacentral:rRNA from 1 species